rnacentral:rRNA from 1 species
AAAUAGAACUUUGCAGAGAGAGUUAACAGGGCGUGAAACCGUUAAUUGGCAAACGAAUCGGAGCCACGAAGUCGUUUCGUUGUUCAGUUGAGCUAGGUUCAGCUGAUGUGGAAACGCAUCAGUGUAUUCCUAAGCACGACCAAACUUUGUAAGCGUACACUGCAACUAGUUAGACGAUUGGCCAUGGGCCCAGUUGGCGAGUCAAGCAAUUGACUUGUUAGCAAAGCAUUUGUUUGUGUGUGUUAGUAGUGGCGCUUGCAACUCUCGGGUUGCUAGUGUUGCUUAGCGCGCGCAAGUGAACUAUGGCCAAAUACUGACUAGCGAAAUGAAAAUCGCCGCCUAGCGCGCGUUAGAGACAAAGCAGUUGGUUAAACUGGCGUUCACGCGCUUCGACUGUUGGGUCUAAGCUUGGCGCUCUUGAAUUCAGACUUGCUCGCUAUCAGUGGGGCAACUCCUGGUGCUUGUACAGCUUCUGUCUAAUCGGGCGUCGACUUGGCCCAGCAACUGUUCGGACGCGAUUCGAUGGACGCUUAGUUUAAACUAAUUUGCAGCUUGAAUUGGCAGUGAGUAGGUCGGCUUUCCGAACGACCCGUCUUGAAACACGGACCAAGGAGUCUAAUUAGGCAUCGAGUCGAUCGGUCUUGAUAGGCCAGACUGGAGUUUUGCUCGCAAAACUCCGAUCGAAGGCGUAGAGAAAUCAAAUCGUGUGAUCCGUUUGGGGCAAUACCAGCCUCACGGCGCAACAUGUGCCUGUUCGAUAGCAACUGUUAGCAAUAACUUGCUGGGCGGAGCAAAGAGAUGCCUGAUUGGGACCCGAAAGAUGGUGAACUAUGCUUGGGCAAAUUGAAGCCAGAGGAAACUCUGGUGGAGGAUUGUAGCGAUUCUGACGUGCAAAUCGAUCGUCAGACCUGAGUAUAGGGGCGAAAGACUAAUCGAACCAUC